AUUGAACGCUGGCGGCAGGCCUAACACAUGCCAGUUGAACGAGUGGCGGACGGGUGAGUAAUGUCUGGGAAACUGCCUGAUGGAGGGGGAUAACUACUGGAAACCGUAGCUAAUACCGCAUACCAUCGGAUGUGCCCAGAUGGGAUUAGCUGGUAGGUGGGGUAAAGGCUCACCUAGGCGGCGAUCCCUAGCUGGUCUGCGAGGAUGACCAGCAACACUGGAACUGUGACACGGUCCAGACUCCUACGGGAGGAAGCAGUGGGUAAUAUUGCACAAUGGGCGCAAGCCUGAUGCAGCCAUGCCGCGUGUAUGAAGAAGGCCUUCGGGUUGUAAAGUACUUUCAGCGGGGAGGCGUUACCCGCAGAAGAAGCACCGGCUAACUCCGUGCCAGCAGCCGCGGUAAUUC
rnacentral:rRNA from 1 species